UUUCUUUCAAAAAAUAAAAAAAAACUUUUACGUCUAUUUCUCAUCAAACUGAUAGUGAUAUUCCAUCUUCUCCCUUCUUCCUUUAUUUUCUUCUAAAACUACACAAAUUAUUUGUUACUUAAGUGCUUACAUAAAAAUUAACAUCAUCCAUUCCCUCACUAGAUUUUGUUUUCCAGACGUUGUUUCCAUCACUUAAAUUAUCACUAAGACUAUCAUCAGGUACGUACGCAAUUAACAAUUCCUUUUUUUUUUUCUUUCUUUUUUCCCAAUAGUCAGAAAUCUUCAUUAAUUUGUACCUUAGAUUGAUUUGUUAUUAUUCUACCAAACAUCAAUCAGUAUUAAAAAUAUUUUAAUCAUAUGUCUAGAUUAAUUUUUUGUUAUUGUUGUGAUGAAUUUUGAGUAAGAUGGCAUGAUUUAGGUAUAAAGGAAAGGUAGAGAAUGGAAUUGGUGAUAUCGCUACCAUUAAUAGUGUUAAUCUUGAUAUUGGCUUUAGCAUGCUACCUUUUGGGGAGGUGCAGGGGUAGUAAACAAUCAAUUUCUCAUCCACAACAGUUUGGGCCUCCAGCUCCUCCACCACAAGCCCAACCAUGAUAACAAAAGGCCCAAAAUUGUUUUAGAUUAUUAUUAGUAUAUGGUUAUUGGACUUUGAAAACUAACUAUUAUAUGUAAUUGUAAAUAAUUAUCUAGUAAUACUAUGUUAAUGCUAUAUUCAUGUAGAAUUGAGCAACACAGAAGGAGAAAAAUUGUCGUAAUACGAUUGAUAUUUAUUAUUGUUACUCAUUCAUGACUUUAUCUUGAAUGUAUAGUUGAAAAAUUUAAUUUUGUUUUCCCAUUAACAGUAUGUUGAAUACUUGAAUGGUUGUUGUUUUGGGAUUAGAUUCAAGAUUAAGACAUGAAUGAGUAACAAUAUAAUAUGUAGUUUUGUUUUUUGGUUACAUGAUAAAAGCAAAAAGAAAAAAGAAAAAGUAAAAGAAAAAACUAUUGGCCGCGAAAAUAAUUGACAUCCAUACUAUCCGCCAUAAGUAGUAAACGGAGUUCAGCUGGAGGAUCAAGAACCAUCAAUAGUUUGCUCAUAGAUCUUGUCCCAAACUUUGCUAAAGAGUCAACACACAUAUUACCCUCUUUGAGUGAGUGACAC
rnacentral:lncRNA from 1 species